GCCUUCGUGGUGAAAUGGAUAUCACAGCUGGUUUCGGCCCAGCCGUUCUAGGUUCGAGUCCUGGCGAAGGCA
rnacentral:tRNA from 1 species